UCGUGAUGAGACUCCAGCUGGCACCAGUCUGAGAAGACUUGUACUCUUUGCAUGCGGAUCAGCUUUACAAGGCACUACGCCGAAUAUCUGAA
rnacentral:snoRNA from 1 species